rnacentral:rRNA from 1 species
AUUGAACGCUGGCGGCAGGCCUAACACAUGCAAGUCGGGCGAGCGGCGGACGGGUGAGUAAUGUAUGGGGAUCUGCCUGUUUUAGGGUGAUAACACCUGGCAAAGGUAGCUAAUACCGUAUACCAUCAGAUAUGCCCCUAUGGGAUUAGCUAGUGGGUGGGGGAAUGGCUCACCAAGGCGACGCUCCCUAGCUGGUCUGAGAGGAUGACCAGCCACACUGGAACUGAGACACGGUCCAGACUCCUACGGGAGGCAGCAGUGGGGAAUAUUGGACAAUGGGCGAAAGCCUGAUCCAGCAAUGCCGCGUGUGUGAAGAAGGCCUUCGGGUUGUAAAGUACUUUCAGUGAGGAGGCGUUACUCACAGAAGAAGCACCGGCUAACUCCGUGCCAGCAGCCGCGGUAAUUC